rnacentral:rRNA from 1 species
AACGCGAAGAACCUUACCUGGGCUCGAACGGCUGGUCAACGCCGGUGGAAACAUCGGUACCCCGCAAGGGGGUCCAGUCGAGGUGCUGCAUGGCUGUCGUCAGCUCGUGUCGUGAGAUGUUGGGUUAAGUCCCGCAACGAGCGCAACCCUUGUCCUGUGUUGCCAUCAUUCAGUUGGGAACUCGCAGGAGACCGCCAGGGAUAACCUGGAGGAAGGUGGGGAUGACGUCAAGUCCUCAUGGCCUUUAUGUCCAGGGCUACACACGUGCUACAAUGGACGGUACAAAGCGCAGCAAACCCGCGAGGGGGAGCCAAUCGCAAAAAACCGUUCUCAGUUCGGAUUGCAGGCUGCAACUCGCCUGCAUGAAGCUGGAAUCGCUAGUAAUGGCAGAUCAGCACGCUGCCGUGAAUACGUUCCCGGGCCUUGUACACACCGCUACAGU